rnacentral:piRNA from 1 species
UCUGGGUUGACACUGUGGGACUCGGCAGC